rnacentral:rRNA from 1 species
CCGCCCGUCACACCAUGGGAGUCAGUUGCUCUAGAAGUCGGUGCGCCAACCUCGGAGGCAGCCGCCCAAGGUGUGAUUCAUGAUUGGGGUG